rnacentral:rRNA from 1 species
GUACCGUCAUUAUCUUCCCUAGCGAAAGAGCUUUACAACCCUAAGGCCCUCUUCACUCACGCGGCAUGGCUGGAUCAGGGUUGCCCCCAUUGUCCAAUAUUCCCCA